UUGUAGUCAUAUGCUUGUCUCAAAGAUUAAGCCAUGCAUGUCUAAGUAUAAGCAACUAUACGGUGAAACUGCGAAUGGCUCAUUAAAUCAGUUAUCGUUUAUUUGAUAGUACCUUACUACUUGGAUAACCGUGGUAAUUCUAGAGCUAAUACAUGCUAAAAACCCCCACUUCGGAAGGGGUGUAUUUAUUAGAUAAAAAACCAACGCCCUUCGGGGCUCCUUGGUGAUUCAUAAUAACUAAACGAAUCGCAUGGCCUUGCGCCGGCGAUGGUUCAUUCAAAUUUCUGCCCUAUCAACUUUCGAUGGUAGGAUAGUGGCCUACCAUGGUAUCAACGGGUAACGGGGAAUGGGGCGGGGGCGGCGG
rnacentral:rRNA from 1 species